UGGGGAAUAUUGGACAAUGGGCGAAAGCCUGAUCCAGCCAUGCCGCGUGUGUGAAGAAGGUCUUCGGAUUGUAAAGCACUUUAAGUUGGGAGGAAGGGCCAUUACCUAAUACGUGAUGGUUUUGACGUUACCGACAGAAUAAGCACCGGCUAACUCUGUGCCAGCAGCCGCGGUAAUACAGAGGGUGCAAGCGUUAAUCGGAAUUACUGGGCGUAAAGCGCGCGUAGGUGGUUUGUUAAGUUGGAUGUGAAAUCCCCGGGCUCAACCUGGGAACUGCAUUCAAAACUGACUGACUAGAGUAUGGUAGAGGGUGGUGGAAUUUCCUGUGUAGCGGUGAAAUGCGUAGAUAUAGGAAGGAACACCAGUGGCGAAGGCGACCACCUGGACUGAUACUGACACUGAGGUGCGAAAGCGUGGGGAGCAAACAGGAUUAGAUACCCACGUAGUCCCUGAGCGGGCUGGCAAGGCGCAU
rnacentral:rRNA from 1 species